rnacentral:misc_RNA from 1 species
GUUUUGAAGAAUAAUUUAUCUUCCAAUUAACGAUCAGGCCUCUACUAGCUCUCCAAGAAUAACCCAGACGAUUCAUUUUGCGACUGCAAUAUAUUAACAUGUUUCAAGCUUCCAUUGUUAUUGGUUUGUGAUCGAUCCCCAACUAAGAAAAUUAAAUCUGCAGCCAUUGAGUUUAGCAGCUCAAGAAACAUCAGUUUCUCUGUUCUUCUUCGGUCUACUGUUUUCAUCAAUGUAUGUCUAUUCACAAGAAGCCUGCAGCAGCAUCAGGACACUGAUUAACUGAUCUGCUACACCCAGUUGGCCAGUACAUGCCCUCGUUGCUGCACCCACUUGGCAGAUUGCUGCGGACCUGCAAAGAAAUAAAUAUUUGCAGACUUCUGCUAUCGCUUCAAGCCUAUAGCCCAUUCUUUUCAGCAGCCACAGAUUCUCUGCAAGUUACCACAGAUGACCUUGAAAAUGAGGAGAAAGAUACUGAUUUGGAUCUUUGUUUCCAAUCCUGCACCAAGCUUCCCCAUGCCAAGUGUCUUCACACCCUUCUUCUGGUGUCAGGACGAGCUCAAAAUAUCUUGGUCUCUACAAAACUUGUCAAUCUUUAUUCAUACCUUGGUGAAAUCCCAUUAUCUCGUCGCACUUUUGAUCAGAUGCCAAAGAAAAAUGUCUAUACCUGGAAUUCUAUGAUCUCUGCUUAUGUUCGCCAUGGCCGUUUCAAUGAAGCUGUAUGCUGUUUUCAUCAGUUCUUGUGGACAUCUGGCCUUCAACCUGAUUUUUACACUUUUCCUCCUGUGGUUAAAGCUUGCCAAAACCUACUUGAUGGGAAAAAAAUACAUUGCUCAAUUUUAAAGCUGGGUUUUGAGUGGGAUGUUUUUGUAGCUGCCUCCUUGAUACACAUGUACUCACGAUUUAGGUUGGUAGGUGCUGCACGAAAACUGUUUGAUGAUAUGCCAUCUCGAGAUAGAGGUUCAUGGAAUGCAAUGAUUUCUGGGUAUUGUCAGAAUGGGAAUGCUGCCAAGGCAUUGGAUGUUGCAGAUGAGAUGAGAUUGGAAGGGUUGCCUAUGGAUGCUUUUACUGUUGCCAGUAUUCUUCCUGUUUGUGCACAAAUGGAUGAUAUUUUAAGUGGGAAGUUGAUCCAUUUGUUGGUUAUAAAGCAUGGAUUAGAAUUCAAACUUUUCGUCUCCAAUGCAUUAAUUAACAUGUAUGCCAAAUUUGGCAGCUUGAGGCAAGCACAGAAAAUUUUUGAUCAGAUGAUGACUAGAGAUAUUGUGUCAUGGAAUUCAAUAAUUGCUGCUUAUGAGCAAAAUGAUGAUGCGGUUACUGCACGUUUAUUCUUUGACAAGAUGCAACAAGUUGGCAUCCGACCUGAUUUGUUGACACUUGUCAGUUUGCCUUCUAUUGUUGCCCAAUUGAAUGAUCAUCGAAAUAGCAGGGCUGUUCAUGGAUUUAUCACGAGGAAAUGCUGGUUUGAAGAUACUGUUAUUGGGAACGCAGUUGUGGACAUGUAUGCUAAAUUGGGUGUGACAGAUUUUGCCCGUAUGUUAUUUGAAAGACUUCCUGCUAAAGAUGUGAUUUCAUGGAACACUUUGAUAACUGGUUACACUCAAAAUGGUCUUGCAAGUGAGGCAGUUGAAGUAUACCAAAUGAUGAAAGAAUGUACAGAAAUUACCCCAACCCAAGGGACUUGGGUUAGUAUUCUACCUGCCUAUUCCCAUUUAGGAGCCUUGCAACAAGGCAUGAGAAUUCAUGGGCAGGUUAUUAAAAAUUCUCAAUACUUGGAUGUUUUUGUGGGCACCUGCCUCAUUGACAUGUAUGGAAAAUGUGGGAAAUUAGAUGAUGCAUUGUCAUUAUUUUACGAAAUGCCAAGAAGAAAUUCAGUCCCAUGGAAUGCCAUGAUCUCAUGUCUUGCGAUUCAUGGAGAUGGUGAGAAAGCUCUUAUGCUCUUUAGGGAAAUGAUAGCUGAGGGAGUAAAGCCUGAUCAUGUAACAUUUGUAUCUUUAUUAUCAGCUUGUAGCCAUUCAGGUCUGGUCAGUGAUGGUCAACAGUGUUUUCAUGUGAUGCAGGAAGAAUACGGGAUUAAACCUACUCUGAAGCAUUAUGGCUGCAUGGUAGAUUUAUUUGGUAGGGCUGGGUAUUUGGAAAUGGCAUACACAUUUAUAAAAAGUAUGCCAAUACAGCCCGAUGCUUCCAUGUGGGGUGCUCUUCUUGGUGCUUGCAGAAUUCAUGGAAAUACAGAGCUGGGUAAAUAUGCUUCAGCUUGCUUGUUUGAAGUUGAUUCAGAAAAUGUUGGCUAUUAUGUUUUGUUGUCAAACAUAUAUGCUACUGUCGGGAAAUGGGAGGGAGCAGAUGAGGUGAGAUUAUUGGCUAGGGACAGGGGGCUGAGGAAGACUCCUGGAUGGAGCUCUAUCGAAAUGAACAAUAAGGUUGAUGUCUUCUAUACUGGAGUCAAAACUCAUCCAAAAUAUGAGGAGAUAUCUAGAGAGUUGAGGGAUUUGAAUGCAAAAAUGAAGACCCUUGGUUACGUUCCAGACUUUCGCUUUGUGUUACAAGAUGUUGAGGAGGAUGAGAAAGAAUACAUCCUCAUGGGCCAUAGUGAGAGGUUGGCCAUUGCAUAUGGAAUCAUCAGCACAUCUCCUAAAAGCCCGAUUAGAAUCUUUAAAAAUUUGCGAGUCUGUGGUGAUUGCCACACUGCAACUAAAUUUAUAGCUAGAAUUACGGAGAGGGAAAUUAUCGUGAGGGAUUCAAACCGUUUCCAUCACUUCAGGAAUGGACUUUGCUCUUGUGGAGACUAUUGGUAACAGAUAAUCUUUAGAAUUGACAUUGGUGAACUGAUUUGAUUCUGAGUUCUGAUUUUUUCAAGGACGCCUGCAGCUCUCAUUGCUUGAGCUGCAGCUGGAGCUCCAGAAUCCCAAGUGAGCUGUUUUCAGAACGAAAAUAAUCACAAGGAAUGCCAAUGGGGUCCAGUUGUUAUCUGGAUUGAAGAUACCAAACCCAUUAGCAACGGGAUACUUGUCAAGCUGAUGUGGCAGGAGAAAAAGAAGGAUGUCAAGUUGACUUUUGAGUCCUCAUCAUUCUUCUGAAUACCCAAUCUGUUUCUCCAGUUAACUUAGCUAUGUGGGUAUCUUCACACCAGAUAUCAAGAUUUAGAGCAUAACUUGCCACCCAAGUAGUUAAUACUGUACAGACCAUUAAGUUCCUUGAGUAUCAUCCGAUAAUACUUGGUUGCAUCUACAUUCUUAAAAUUCAUUAAUUUUUAUUUAUUUUUGAAUUGGUAGUCCAGGAAAAUAUACCAUGAGAUUAUGGUAAUGUUCUUGGUAAGUAGGCAAUAUUGAGUUUUGUUCUGAUACUUUGGUUUUGUUCUGUAAACAUGCCUUUUUGUUAUU